rnacentral:misc_RNA from 1 species
GAUGAAGAACGCAGCUAAAUGCGAUAAGUAAUGUGAAUUGCAGAAUUCAGUGAAUCAUCGAAUCUUUGAACGCACAUUGCGCCCGCCAGUAUUCUGGCGGGCAUGCCUGUUCGAGCGUCAUUACAACCCUCAGGCCCCCGGGCCUGGCGUUGGGGAUCGGCGGAGCCCCCCGUGGGCACACGCCGUCCCCCAAAUGCAGUGGCGGUCCCGCCGCAGCUUCCAUCGCGUAGUAGCUAACACCUCGCGACUGGAGAGCGGCGCGGCCACGCCGUAAAACACCCAACUCUUCUGAAGUUGACCUCGAAUCAGGUAGGAAUACCCGCUGAACUUAAGCAUAUCAAUAAGCGGAGGA